rnacentral:rRNA from 1 species
GAUGAACGCUGGCGGCGUGCCUAAUACAUGCAAGUCGAGCGAACAGACGAGGAGCUUGCUCCUCUAACGUUAGCGGCGGACGGGUGAGUAACACGUGGAUAACCUACCUAUAAGACUGGGAUAACUUCGGGAAACCGGAGCUAAUACCGGAUAAUAUAUUGAACCGCAUGGUUCAAUAGUGAAAGACGGUUUUGCUGUCACUUAUAGAUGGAUCCGCGCCGCAUUAGCUAGUUGGUAAGGUAACAGCUUACCAAGGCAACGAUGCGUAGCCGACCUGAGAGGGUGAUCGGCCACACUGGAACUGAGCCACGGUCCAGACUCCUACGGGAGGCAGCAGUAGGGAAUCUUCCGCAAUGGGCGAAAGCCUGACGGAGCAACGCCGCGUGAGUGAUGAAGGUCUUCGGAUCGUAAAACUCUGUUAUUAGGGAAGAACAAAUGUGUAAGUAACUAUGCACGUCUUGACGGUACCUAAUCAGAAAGCCACGGCUAACUACGUG